UUUGGGGUGCUGAGGGGAGGAUGUGCAGGGCAGAUGUUUUGUGAUGGGGGCAGGAGUUGAUCAACAUCUCGUUUAAUUGGGUCCCUGGGGGAAGGGACAGUGUGGAGAGCCCAGGAAACCCAAUUUCUCUCGUUACCCCUCCAUUUCUUUUUCUCUAAAGGUCAAACCAAGGCAGGUUUUGUGUCACCCACUCCCCCAAAUGAAUCACAGGCGUUUCCCCCCCCUCUCUGUUGCAGCCCCUGCUGAGGAGCCACAUCUGGGCAGCACCUACAGCCAGAUGUCCCAGGAUGAUGACAUCAGAGUUUUUUUGGGACUGAGCCUCAGCGUGGUGGGACUGUCAGCUCUUUUUGCAAUUGUGAUGUUUAAAAAAUCAGUCAGGAAAAGGUAUUCCUUACUCCUCUAUAUCUGUCUUUCCUUAUUUCCAAUUCAUGAUUUUUUACCCUUUUUUUUUGUUUGUUUGGCUGGGUUUUUUUGGUGGGUUUUUUUUGGGGGGUGUUUUUUUUGGUUUGUUUGGUUUUUUUGGGGUUUUUUUUGUGUAUAGAAGAAAUAUAAAAUUUCUUCUGGGAUGUUUUUAAACCAACUCCAGAGUCCUUUUCACCUCAGCCUGAGGCCAAUGCCACACAUUUACCAGGUGUGUUGUAUGAAAGGACUUUUUUUAGGUGCUCUACAGAAAGGCAGAGGCCAACCAAAAAAAAAAAAUAAAAAAAAGGUCAAAUGAACAUGAAAUUGGUGAAAUUAAAGAGUGGGGCCAACCAAAAAAAAAAAAAUAAAAAAAAGGUCAAAUGAACAUGAAAUUGGUGAAAUUAAAGAGUGGGGAGCCCAGAGUUUCCAAGCCCAGCUCAAAGGCUGGGUGUCCUUCACGUGUCCUUCCCACCCAGGCAGUUCCAUGCUGCACGAGGAAUAUCUGGGGAAUAAAUUGGGUUAACACCUGGGCUCUGGUUUUUUUCCCUUUUGGUGAAGGGUGAAGGCCACCCUGGUGUCCCUCCUGCCCAAGUGGCUCUUUGAAGAUUUUCCCCACAUGGAGAACAGCACCGUGGUGAAGUCACUCCAGGUGAGGGCAGAGUUGUCUCCUGGUUUUCUUCCCCUCAGGUUAAAGCUUGUCUUUGCAGAAUCACAGAAUUAUUCAGGUUGGAAAAUCCCUCCGAGGUUGUUGGGU
rnacentral:lncRNA from 12 species